rnacentral:rRNA from 1 species
CCUACGGGCGGCAGCAGUGGGGAAUAUUGGACAAUGGGGGGAACCCUGAUCCAGCCAUGCCGCGUGUGUGAAGAAGGCCCUCGGGUUGUAAAGCACUUUCAGUGAGGAAGAACGCCUGGUGGUUAAUACCCAUCAGGAAAGACAUCACUCACAGAAGAAGCACCGGCUAACUCCGUGCCAGCAGCCGCGGUAAUACGGAGGGUGCGAGCGUUAAUCGGAAUUACUGGGCGUAAAGCGCGCGUAGGUGGCUUGAUAAGCCGGUUGUGAAAGCCCCGGGCUCAACCUGGGAACGGCAUCCGGAACUGUCAAGCUAGAGUGCAGGAGAGGAAGGUAGAAUUCCCGGUGUAGCGGUGAAAUGCGUAGAGAUCGGGAGGAAUACCAGAGGCGAAGGCGGCCUUCUGGACUGACACUGACACUGAGGUGCGAAAGCGUGGGUAGCAAACAGGAUUAGAUACCCGAGUAGUC